rnacentral:rRNA from 1 species
CAGCCGCCGCGGUAAUACGUAGGUCCCGAGCGUUGUCCGGAUUUAUUGGGCGUAAAGCGAGCGCAGGCGGUUAGAUAAGUCUGGAGUUAAAGGCUGUGGCUUAACCAUAGUAUGCUUUGGAAACUGUUUAACUUGAGUGCAGAAGGGGAGAGUGGAAUUCCAUGUGUAGCGGUGAAAUGCGUAGAUAUAUGGAGGAACACCGGUGGCGAAAGCGGCUCUCUGGUCUGUAACUGACGCUGAGGCUCGAAAGCGUGGGGAGCAAACAGGAUUAGAUACCCGCGUAGUCCCUGUCUCUUAUACC